VAAAGAAUAUUUUAGUUUAGAAUCCUAGCUUUGGGGGUUAGGGGUGGGAGUUAAAAUCUCCUUUCUUUGA
rnacentral:tRNA from 1 species